rnacentral:rRNA from 1 species
UAAAGGCUCACCUAGGCGACGAUCCAUAGCUGAUCUGAGAGGAUGACCAGCCACACUGGAACUGAGACACGGUCCAGACUCCUACGGGAGGCAGCAGUGGGGAAUAUUGCACAAUGGGCGCAAGCCUGACGCAGCCAUGCCGCGUGUAUGAAGAAGGCCUUCGGGUGUAAAGUAUCUUUCAGCGGGGAGGAAGGGAGUAGAGUUAAUACGUAUGUUCAUUGACGUUAUCCGCAGAAGAAGCACCGGCUAACUCCGUGCCAGCAGCCGCGGUAAUACGGUAGGGUGCAAGCGUUGAUCGGAAUUACUGGGCGUAAAGCGCACGCAGGCGGUUUGUUAAGUCAGAUGUGAAAUCCCCGGGCUCAACCUGGGAGGUUCAUUUGAUACUGGCAAGACUUGAGUGUAGUAGAGGGGGGUAGAAUUCCAGGUGUAGCGGUGAAAUGCGUAGAGUAUAUGGAGGAAUCACCGGUGGCGAAGGCGGCCCCUCUGGAUCGAAGACUGACGCUCAGGUGUCGAAGCGCGGGGAGCAAACAGG